rnacentral:rRNA from 1 species
GACGUAGGGUGCGAGCGUUGUCCGGAAUUACUGGGCGUAAAGCGCGCGCAGGCGGCCCGCGAGGUGUCACGUGAAAGCCCCGGGCUCAACCCGGGAGGGUCGUGGCAAACCGGCGGGCUUGAGGCCGGUAGAGGUGGGUGGAACUCCUGGUGGAGUGGUGAAAUGCGUAGAGAUCAGGAAGAACACCCGUGGCGAAGGCGGCCCACUGGGCCGGUACUGACGCUGAGGCGCGAAGGCGUGGGGAGCGAACGGG